UACGGGGGGAGCAAGCGUUGUUCGGAUUUACUGGGCGUAAAGGGCGCGUUAGGCGGUCAGCACAAGUCAGUUGUGAAAUCUCCGGGCUUAACUCGGAAAGGUCAACUGAUACUGUGCGACUAGAGUGCGGAAGGGCAACUGGAAUUCUCGGUGUAGCGGUGAAAUGCGUAGAUAUCGAGAGGAACACCUGCGGCGAAGGCGGGUUGCUGGGCCGACACUGACGCUGAUGCGCGAAAGCCAGGGGAGCGAACGGG
rnacentral:rRNA from 1 species